rnacentral:rRNA from 1 species
UACGAAGGGUGCAAACGUUUGCUCGGAAUUAUUGGGCGUAAAGCGCACGUAGGCGGAUACUUAAGUCAGGGGUGAAAUCCCGGGGCUCAACCCCGGAACUGCCUUUGAUACUGGGUAUCUCGAGUCCGGAAGAGGUGAGUGGGAAUUCCGAGUGUAGAGGUGAAAUUCGAUAGAUAUUCGGAGGAACACCGGUGGCGAAGGCGGGUCUCUGGGGCCGAUACUGACGCUGAGGAGCGAAAGCGUGGGGAGCGAACAGGA